CAGAACAGAAGUUCCACACCGUCCUUUUCGUGACCACGUGACCCACUCGUCCUCCCACGUAUCCGUAACGGAAACGAGGCACAGUAUUCGAAUAAGCUACUCGAAAACACCUCAGUACAGAAAAACGCUCAACAUUUACAAAAAAAAAUGAAUAAAGUAGUGUUCGCCUUCGUUUGCGUCGCUAUCCUGCAGAUCGCAUCUGCGUUAGAAUGCUUCUCUUGUAAGGGACCAACAUGCGAAACAGAAACCAAAACCUGGGAUAAGAAGACAUGUGGCACAAGUGGCGUCUCUCUUCCAGCAAACGCCCAACACGCCUGCCUAAAAUUGAGCUAUAAAGACAGGACAACACAGAAGAUGAUGGUAGAAAGGGGUUGCACUAUAGCCAAUUUAAAAGACGGGAAACUAAGUCACAACUGUCAAAAUGCCGGUGACCAACCUGUAUGUCCUGUGUGUCAAACUGACUUGUGUAAUUCUGCGAAAAGCAUCAGUUUCAGCUUUGUGGCACUUUGCGGUGUCGUUUUGGCGAUUGCGGCGCCCAAACUUAUGUAAAAUCACCCCACCCCUUCGCUUGUAUGAUUCGUGGGAAAUGGAUGAUGCUUUGAAAAACAAACCAAGUGUUCAAGCCCCGCAAGCCGUGUAUAUGUCUUCGUUAACUGUGUUUAUUUUUAUUAUAUUUUUGGAUGUGAGGUAUAAUUGUUUAUUACUGAAAUUAAAUAUUGAAUUUCUUUGAUAAUUUUAAAUUUCGAAUUAAAAAAUAAAUUUCUA